rnacentral:lncRNA from 1 species
UAAAAUUAACUCAUUACUUUGAUCAUAUGCUGGUGUAGGUUGCAUAUUUUAAAAUUACAUUUUCCAAAUGGCCCAUCUCAUUUUUCAUACAAAUGAUAUAUUUCAACUCCAUGUGAAUUUUAAGUAGAAAAUUCUGUUGUUCUACAAAUGGAAAGAAAUGGACUCACAUUUCACAGAAUACAUUAAUGAAGAAGGAGGCAGACACACUUUCUCCCAAUGACAUCAAAAGGAAGAUAGAGACAUCGAGCAGAAAACUUUUUUUUAGUAGAAGGAUAUUUGAGUUUUCUUCUAUAAGUUGAUCUCUUGAGAUCAGUUGGGGGAAAAAGAAAACAUUAUUCUUAUGCCCUGUUUCUGGAGUGAGAUGAAGAACAGAAUUUCUUUCCUGAAGAUUUAAUCUGGGUCAGUUUAAACGCUGGCCCAGGCUAGCUCCUUGGGGAGGUUUCUCCUGAAAGCCCCACAAGAGCUCCUUGAGUCCAGAGGUGGGGGAGGAAAAGGGCCCCACUCUAUAAACAGAGCCUCAGGAUGACAAUCCAAUCAGCCCAGAAACUAGCCGGGCCCUCACUUAAAUUUAAUGUCUCUGUGUUUGCACUGAUAGUGCUAACAAGCCAGCCCAGGCCCAUCAGCAUCAGGAAAUUUCUUUUAAUUACACAAUGAGAGCACUGUGCAAACCCCUCCACACUGCAGGUCGGUGCCACAUCACACAGGGACAAGGGGAGGCUCGAGGGUGGAGGCUGCUUUUUGCUGAAGAGCUGAAGAUUAUCUGUGGGAAUUCUUUCAAAGCAGCAGAGGUGAUUAAAAUAUAUUUAGCACUCAUUUCUCUCCUGCUUUCCUCCUUCAUCCUCACAAAUAUCACUGGAAGAGGAACAAUGCAUCAUUAAUAUCCUUGAUCCUCCAUUCCGAAUAAGGGGAGGAAGUCUUCAUUUGCACAAGCUGUAGAGGCAGGGAGAAGGACCCCACACUGAGGUGUCCUAUUCAGGGUCAUGUAAAAAACCAAGCCAGGCAAUCAGCUCCAUCUACUUCAGGCUCUAAAUAGAGUUUUUCUUUUGGGAGCAUGGUAGAGGGGGUUCUCUGAAUUUUAUGAUGCUGGUUUGUUUUUGUUUUGCUUUGAUAGGUUUGCUUUUUUGAAUUUUUUUUCUAUAUCAAUUCUGAUUUGUUAUGUUUUUUAAAAAAAUUUUAAUAAACAUUUGACUGAUCUGAGGUUGUUGAAGUGUGAACUGGGAUAAGAACAAAAAAGCAAUAUGUUAUUUUAGGAAGGUAAGAAAAGAAAAAUUAAGUGGCAGGAUUUUUUUUUAAUUCUAGCAGCCCUCAAGAGUUUGUAUCAAGCUAUAUUGGGGGUUGGUGGGAGAGGAGGGACAGGGAGAGAGAGGAGGGGGAGCAAGAGGAGGGAGAGAGAAUGUUCAUACAUAUCAGAUUUCGGCUAAUGGCUCCCCUGCUAACAGUGGGAAGCAAAAACUUGAAGUAGUCAGUGUAAGGUUUGGAGGUUCAAGCUUCAGUUUUCACAAAAAUGCCAACUUACUCCAAGAAAAGAUUCCUUAGGCCAGAGCAGACAGAGCACCUCUACACUAACAUGAAUAUGAUAUGCUUUGAGGGACCCAAAGGAAAAAGGUCCCACCCUUAGGUCAAACUUUAAAAAUGCCAUAUUCAUAACACAAAAAACUCCAGCCUAUUGGAAUGCUGGCUACAUCACAAUAUCACAGUUUCCAUUUAUUCGAAAUUACCAUUUAUUAGAAAUUAACCAUCCCCCCUAUACACACACACACACACACACACACACCCUGAAAGGGCUUUCCUUGUCUUAAGCCUCUGUGUAUGAAACACUCUGGAACCCACCGGCCUAGGUGUUAGAACAGCACCGAAGUUGCCAGGGCCAGGGGUCCAGCCAUCCUGACCUCUGCUAGCCACCCUGCAAGGGCCGAUGUUCCCACGCAGGAGGCCCCAGGGAGGUGGUACUGAGCAACCGGCCACACCCAAGGAAACAGCUCAGAGCUCAACUUCCUCCUGAAUUAGGCCACACCCGAGGCCUCCCGGGUCUCAUCCACGCCUCUGGGUCCAUCACUAAACAGAAGGCACAAUCCCACUAACUCUUACUCCAUCGCUGCUCAUGAAACUCCUGCCAGUAAGGACUGGGUCAAGCACCUGAAAACCAGAGCUCGUCCGUGGCUUCACUUGUUUUGGACUAAGGAGCUGAGGAGCGUGCAAGACUGUACUUGGAGAAUCUGUUUCUUGCUGCCAUUUCGUCACUGAACACUAUUUUUUUUCUCCUUCUUUUUUUGUAAGAAAAGGAGAACACAUAAAACCCCACCAGAACAAACUCCACUCGGCCCUGAAAGUAUUUACAAUCACGGCCCUGAAAGUACUGAAAGUAUUUACAAUCACGUUACAGUUCAUUCACUGCUGCAGAACCUCUCUCCAGCGAUCAAGGUCGAAGGGAGCCGACGUCGCCCUCUAUCGGCUCCCUGCUGCACUAGAAGCCGGACUCACUCAGGAGGCCCUUCAUCUUCAUGUUCCCCACAUAGCAGAGGGGAGGGCAGAAGAUGAGAGGGAGGAGAGAGCAGAGCCAAGAGCCUCCUUUUCUCCCACUGUGCCCCUCCUAUGUGUGGCUCUGGACACCAGGAACCACCCAAGGACAGUGGGACUCCUCGAAAAGAUAAUUGCUCAUGAGGGAUCCAAGAGCAAGGCUUGUUACAUCCUAUAACCUUCACACAAAAUAUUGACUGAGAAUCCUCCAUGUGCCAAGUACUGUUCAAAAACACUGGGAACCCAGCAGGGAUGAGCCACAAGUUUCCUUGUCUUUACGAAGCUUUCAUUCUGAGGGAGUGGAGAGAGACAAGCAAUAAACAACCAAUCAAAACAAAGAUGACUCCUCUGAGUGUUGUGAUAUGCGGGUCAAGGAGGAUGGCUCCCAGGAUGUGACCUCAGAGCAGAAGCCUGGAGGCUUGCCAGCAGCGGGAAGAGCAGCGGCAGGGCACUGCAGGCAGAGGUGACCAAAAGCGUGAAACCUUGAGCUGGGAAGCACGUGGUCUGCUGGAAAGUGGGCUGAUGUAUUUGAAGAGAGCAAGGAGCAGAAUGGUACAAUGGGGUGAUGGGGGAAGAGCCAGGCAGAGCCCAGUGCUGCAAAGCCCGGUAGCACAUACAUGUGUAACGUACCUUGAAGCAAAUGAAUGGCCUGAUCUGGUUUCUGUUUUGGCUGCUCUGUGGUGAUGUGGUGCCUGGGAGGCAAAGAAGCUGGGAAAGAAGCGGUUUUUCUCUUCUAGGUACUUUAAAGCUCUAUAAUAUAUGCUCAGGUGAAAUUUGGCUGGUAUUUUCAGGGACUUCACUGCUUUUGUGCCAUACUGGCCUCAUCAUGUAGAUAACAUCACGGAUUCAUUCCAUCUUAUUAUUCUGUAAGAGUGAUGUCUAAUUUUUUUAAAAAAGAAUCAGCUUUAAAAAAUGCAAAGUCUCAUAGAAAGUAACUCUUUUCUAUUUUAAGCAAGCAUUCAGAAUAUUAGCAGUGCUAAUCAGUACCUCACUAAACAGUUAUGACUGAUUCUAAGUGCAAAGUGGGGAAUGAGAGUAACAGAGAGUAUUUACUGGCUGCUAAAAGCAGGUACAAUGGGGAGCAUGCUAGAGAAACUGUCUCACUGAAUCCUCGGAUGACCCCAUGGUGUAGGUAAUACUGGAGAAACUGAGGCUGCAGUGGCCACAUGACUUGCACAAGGCCACCCAGUAAGAAUGGGAUAGAACAAGAGCCCAUGUCCAUAACCCCUCUCCUACUACGCUAAGGUCAGGGUGGCCCUUUAAGGUGACCAAAGGGUUAGAAAUAACAAACAAGAGUGGAUGAACCUAGGUUUAUUUUGUCUGGAGGAGAGAAAUCUUUGAGAGUGAUUAAUUAAAGCAUAUUCAGGAUAUUUUUUAAAUAAACGGAGAGAGCUGUUCUCCAUCAUCCCUAAUGGUAGAAGAAAAGGCCUUCACCCUCAGCCUGGCAGGUGAAGACAGAGAUAAAGAAUGUGCAGACUGUGGGAUCUUGCUGGGAGGGAGGCAGGACUCACCUACCUAGUCUGUCUCUGAUGCAUUUCUUUGGAAAAUGCAUGUUGACAGUGCUUCUAAAAGUAAUCAUAUGAGCUGCCUGAAAAGGUCAACUUUCAACUCUGGUAAAGAUUGGGAUGCCUUUUCCAGAUUAAUUCCACAUUGGUGUUUGUGGGCAAUGCUGAAACAAAAGAAAAUCCAGGCUAGCCAAAACUUUUCACAUAAAUAGUGACAAAAGCAACCGAGUGGCUGGACAGAUUUGAGACAGGAACAGCCCGAGGACUACAGCAGGGGCUCCCAGUCUGGAGACUCUAACAUAGAUCUCCAGAUGACCCCAAUGACUGGGAAUUGCUUUUACUCUGGACAGCCUGCUGGGCGGCCCCAGUUGACUGUCCCGGGUAUGUCCCGGGUCGCUAACCACUUUGACUGCCCCUGAGCCACAGAGUCAGGCAGGAGUCAGGGACACGUAGGUACUCUCUUCUCCCUGCCCCUCACCUUCCUUCAGGGCCACCUCGGCCACAAAGGCUGGCUCCACAUCAGUCAGCUACUCAGACAUGCUCUCGCCUCACCUCCU